ensembl:lncRNA GLIS3-AS1 GLIS3 antisense RNA 1
AGGCCUAAAAAAGGGUAGUUGUGGUUGGCUCUGCCUUUGCUGUCUUUACCUGAAUAGAGGUCAGGCCCGGGUCCAGGGGAGCGUCCCACGGUCCCUUCAGCAGCAGCAUCUCUAGGGGAAGUGGCCGGCUGCAGGGACUGCACGGUGAGGCAAUCUGUGAGCAGGUCUGGAUGGAGCUCUGUGCUGGACCGCAACUAAGAGGACAAAACGGAAGAGACAUCGAUAAGGAGAGCCGGUCCUUGGAAUAUUUUCCUGGGAAGGCAUCAUGCUCUAUCAGUGCAACUCAGCCCACAAAAAUUUAUCAAGCAGCAACUACGGGUCCUCUGAACGGGCCACACCACGGUUGAGCCAUUGUGACCCCUGCGACACACAGGUCCAGGCCUCCUGGAGUCACAAAGCUUUGAGCAACAGGAGAACCACUAAAGAAGAAGAAACAGCUAGCUCCUGCCUUAACUGAUUAACCGAACUUGCAACAUUCCACCAUUGUGAUAUGUUCCUGCCCUACCCUAAAUAAUCAAUCGGCCUUGUGAUAUCCUGCCAUGUGAACUCCCUCCACCUCGUGACUACGCACCUUGUGACAUUCUUCCCCUGCCCGAAAAGACUGCCCCAACUGUAACCUUCCACUACCUAUCCCAAACCUAUAAAACCAGUUCCACUCCCACCGCCCUUCGCUGACUCCCUUUUCAGACUCAGCCCGCUCGCACCGGAGUGAAUAAACAGCCUUGUUGCUCACA